CAUGGCUAAUGAUAAUAUUCUACUAUUGCCUACAUUGGUUGACCUUUGCUUGAAAAACAAUUCUGUGCCCAUG